rnacentral:rRNA from 1 species
AUUGAACGCUGGCGGCAGGCCUAACACAUGCAAGUCGAGCGGAGCGGCGGAAGGGUGAGUAAUGACUAGGAAUCUGCCUGGUAGUGGGGGAUAACGUACGGAAACGGGCGCUAAUACAGCAUACUAUCAGAUGAGCCUAGGUCGGAGUAGCUAGUUGGGGGGGUAAAGGCCUACCAAGGCGACGAUCCGUAACUGGUCUGAGAGGAUGAUCAGUCACACGGGAACUGAGACACGGUCCAGACUCCUACGGGAGGCAGCAGUGGGGAAUAUUGGACAAUGGGCGAAAGUCUGAUCCAGCAAUGCCGCGUGUGUGAAGAAGGUCUUCGGAUUGUAAAGCACUUUAAGUUGGGAGGCGUUACCAACAGAUUAAGCACCGGCUAACUUCGUGCCAGCAGCCGCGGUAAUUC